rnacentral:rRNA from 1 species
CCUGGCGGGAGUAGCGCGGUGUGCCCACCUGACCCCAUGCCGAACUCAGAAGUGAAACGCCGUAGCGCCGAUGGUAGUGUGGGGUCUCCCCAUGCGAGAGUAGGGAACUGCCAGGC